UACGUAGGGGGCAAGCGUUGUCCGGAAUCAUUGGGCGUAAAGCGCGUGUAGGCGGUCCGGUAAGUCCGCUGUGAAAGUCGGGGGCUCAACCCUCGGAUGCCGGUGGAUACUGUCGGGCUUGAGUACGGAAGAGGCGAGUGGAAUUCCCAGUGUAGCGGUGAAAUGCGUAGAUAUUGGGAGGAACACCAGUGGCGAAGGCGGCUCACUGGACCGGUACUGACGCUGAGGCGCGAAAGCGUGGGGAGCAAACAGG
rnacentral:rRNA from 1 species